rnacentral:rRNA from 1 species
UAACGCGAAGAACCUUACCAGGUCUUGACAUACCAUUGACGCCUCUAGAGAUAGAGGGUUUCCUUCGGGGACAAUGGAUACAGGUGGUGCAUGGUUGUCGUCAGCUCGUGUCGUGAGAUGUUGGGUUAAGUCCCGCAACGAGCGCAACCCCUGUCGUUAGUUGCCAGCAGUGAGAUGGGGACUCUAACGAGACUGCCAGUGACAAACCGGAGGAAGGUGGGGAUGACGUCAAAUCAUCAUGCCCCUUAUGACCUGGGCUACACACGUGCUACAAUGGUUGGUACAAAGAGAAGCGAAGCGGUGACGUGGAGCAAACCUCAUAAAGCCAAUCUCAGUUCGGAUUGUAGGCUGCAACUCGCCUACAUGAAGUUGGAAUCGCUAGUAAUCGCGAAUCAGAAUGUCGCGGUGAAUACGUUCCCGGGUCUUGUACACACCGA